AGUGUAGGCGGCUACUUAAGUCGGAUGUGAAAGCCCCGGGCUCAACCUGGGAAUUGCAUUCGAAACUGGGUAGCUAGAGUUUGGUAGAGGUAAGUGGAAUUCCGGGUGUAGCGGUGAAAUGCGUAGAUAUCCGGAGGAACAUCAGUGGCGAAGGCGGCUUACUGGACCAAAACUGACGCUGAGGCUCGAAAGCGUGGGGAGCAAACAGGAUUAGAUACCCUGGUAGUC
rnacentral:rRNA from 1 species